rnacentral:misc_RNA from 1 species
CGCACAUUGCGCCCUCUGGUAUUCCGGAGGGCAUGCCUGUUCGAGCGUCAUUUCAACCCUCAAGCACUGCUUGGUGUUGGGGCGCCGCCCGUGAGAGGGCGGGCCCUGAAAUCUAGUGGCGAGCCCGCCAGGACCCCGAGCGCAGUAGUUUUACAUCUCGCUCUGGAAGGCCCUGGCGGCGCCCUGCCGUUAAACCACCAACCUCUGAAAUUUUGACCUCGGAUCAGGUAGGGAUACCCGCUGAACUUAA